CCCUGGCUCAGGAUGAACGCGGCGGCGUGCUUAACACAUGCAAGUCGAACGAUGACCCCCAGCUUGCUGGGGUGAUUAGUGGCGAACGGGUGAGUAACACGUGAGUAACCUGCCCCUGACUCUGGGAUAAGCCCGGGAAACUGGGUCUAAUACUGGAUAUGCACCGUAAGCCGCAUGGCUUUUGGUGGAAAGAUUUUUUGGUCAGGGAUGGACUCGCGGCCUAUCAGCUUGUUGGUGAGGUAAUGGCUCACCAAGGCGACGACGGGUAGCCGGCCUGAGAGGGUGACCGGCCACACUGGGACUGAGACACGGCCCAGACUCCUACGGGAGGCAGCAGUGGGGAAUAUUGCACAAUGGGCGAAAGCCUGAUGCAGCGACGCCGCGUGAGGGAUGACGGCCUUCGGGUUGUAAACCUCUUUCAGUAGGGAAGAAGCGAAAGUGACGGUACCUGCAGAAGAAGCGCCGGCUAACUA
rnacentral:rRNA from 1 species